GGAUUCCCCUAGUAACUGCGAGUGAAGCGGGAAAAGCUCAAAUUUAAAAUCUGACAGUUUUUGCUGUCCGAAUUGUAGCCUAGAGAAGUGUUGUCCGCGCCGGACCGUGUAUAAGUCUCCUGGGAUGGAGCAUCAUAGAGGGUGAGAAUCCUGUGUUUGACAUGGACUACCGGUGCAUUGUGGCAUGCUCUCAAAGAGUUGAGUUGUUUGGGAAUGCAGCUCUAAAAGGGUGGUAAAUUCCAUCUAAAGCUAAAUAUUGGCGAGAGACCGAUAGCGAACAAGUACCGUGAGGGAAAGAUGAAAAGAACUUUGGAAAGAGAGUUAAACAGUAUGUGAAAUUGUUGAAAGGGAAACGCUUGAAGUCAGUCGCAUUGGUUGGGGAUCAGCUUAGUUUAUUUGCUGAGUGUAAUUCCUAAUGGAUGGGUCAGCAUGAGUUUUGAUCGCUGGAGAAAGGCUAUUGGGAAUGUGGCACCUUUGGGUGUGUUAUAGCUCAUGGUUGUAUGCAGCGGUUAGGACUGAGGAAGGCAGCGCGCCGCAAGGACGGGUUUCGACCACGUUCGCGCUUAGGAUGUUGGCAUAAUGGCUUUAAGCGACCCGUCUUGAAACACGGACCAAGGAGUCUAACAUGCGUGCGAGUGUUUGGGUGGAAAACCCCUCUCGCGUAAUGAAAGUGAAAGUUAAGAACCCUGAAUUUUUGGGGAGCAUUGACGCCCAGACCAAAACUUUUGGGACGGAUCUGCGGUAGAGCAUGCAUGUUGGGACCGAAAGAUGGUGAACUAUGCCUGAAUAGGGUGAAG
rnacentral:rRNA from 1 species